CAACACUAGCCAAAAUGAAGGUGAUAAACUGCAACACAUGUGACGCAUGUGAAGUGGUGGAAAACGCCUCGCAUAUAAUCUUCAGCUGUAUAAAAUAUACCACUACAAGACAGCAAUUCCCAACACUGCUAAAGUACAACAGCAUUUAUAACUUUUUUGCUAACGAAAAUACCAGCUCAUACAAAUCAAUCACACAAUUUCUAAACACAAUUAAGUCUAAUAUUUAAAUGUUAACAUCGUACUAAAAACACAAUUGGUGAUGGCGUUUUCCUCGUAACCAACGUGGACGGCCAAAUAAUUCUUUGCAUUAAACUGUGCAAAGUAACCUAAAUCAAAAAAAAAAAAAAAAGAGCUGGAUUGUAGCAAUUUAUUAACGGAAUGGCCAAGAUGGAAACAGGAGUUCUUAAUGUACUUGAUGGCGACUGGCAAAUCAACGGAACCGGAAAAGAGAAAACUUGCAAACUUCUUGUGGCUAGUGGGAAGAAAAGGUACACAAAUCUACAACACAAUGUACCCGAAUGAUGGUACACAGAAUUCUAUGCUUGGAACAGUAACAACGGAAAGCAGUGUUCAGCAACGCACAAUGGAGGAGGUGCUUAAAAAGUUUGAUGAAUUUUGCCUACCACAACGAAAUAAUGCAAUGGAGUCUUACAAAUUCAACAUGAUUACACAAAAAGAGCGUCAACCUUUUAGUGAAUUUGAAACAAACUUGCGGGAACAGCUACAUCAUUGUGAAUUCGUAUGUGAGUGUGGCAAAUCAUACGAAAACCGAAUGCUGCGUGACGGUAUUAUCGGAGUGCAUGACAAAAAACUACAACUGAAACUUCUGGACGGGCGUGAUGAACAUUUGUCAAAAGUCAUUGAUACUUGCAAAGCACCUGAAGCAGCCUCUAUCACUAAAGGAAUACUGGAAGGAAACCAGUCGGUUAAUAUCAUCAAAGACGACGGACCUGUAAUUAAUGCGAUUAAUAGAGUUUGCUUCAACUGCGGGGGACCAUGAAAAUUUGGUCACAAAGACGAAUGCAAAGCAAAGGACAUAACGUGUCAUCGUUGUGCAAAAAAGGGUCAUUUCCAAAGGAUGUGCCGAAAGCAGAAAUCUCAAACCAUGGGCGUGAAGACAGCAAGCCAGAAGGAAAACAAGAACGAAGGAGAAUAAAUUCAAUCGGAGUAAAACACAAGAGGUGGACCAAAGACUAUCAGAUAGGCGGACAGAUAGUUACAUUUAAGCUAGACAGCGGAUCCGAUGUAAACUGCAUUCAAAGAAAUCUACUUGAAAAACUUAAAAAGGAAAAUAAUCUUAAGCUUAAUUAUGAAUUGAAUGAAAUGUUGGUUUUGGAUUAUAAUGGCAACAAGAUAAAAGUAUAUGGAGCAGUACAGCUACAAUGUUAUGAUUUAAAACUAGAAAUUGAGCAAAUGAUUAAGUUUAUAAUUGUAGCCGAUAACUGUGAGCCGAUAUUAGGGUUAGAAACGUGUGAAGAGUUAGGAUUAAUGAAACGAAUGGAUGUAAAUAGUAUUAAACAUCAGUAUGAAAAUAGGGAGUCUUUUGUAAAUACGUAUAGGAAUGUUUUUAACGGAAUCGGAAAGUUUCCAGGAACUGUAAGAAUUCAAUUAACUGAAAAUGCUAAGCCAGUGCUUCAUUAUAAGAAACGGAUACCGAACUCAUUAACAGACAAAUUAAAAGCAGAACUAGACACAAUGCUGGAAAACGAUAUUAUAUCAAAAGUGGAAUAUCCUACCGAUUGGGUGAACAACUUGCAAAUAAUUGAACUAGUAUAGCCUUUCACCCUUUGGGUACAGGCUAUAAAAACCAUGUGGAAAACUUCGAAUUUGUCUUGAUCCCAAGCCACUAAAUUUAUGUAUUAAGCGAGAGCAUUUCCUCAUUCCCACCAUUGAUGACCUAACAAGAAAAUUAGUGGGUCAACGGAUUUUUUCGGUAUUUGACUUAAGCAGUGGGUUUUGGCACAUGGAAUUAGAUAAAGCAAGCUCGGAUUUGACAACCUUUAUGACUCCUUUUGGGAGUUUCAGAUUUAAACGUGUACCAUUCGGUCUCAAUUGUGCACCGGAAAUGUUUCAACGGAAAAUGGUCAAUAUUUUCGGGGAUUUACCAGGAGUUAUGGUAUACUUUAACGAUUUAGCCAUCUGUGCAGAAAGUAAGGAAGAACAUGAUCAGAUUGUCCGAUUGAUUAUGGAGAGGGCACGUAUAAAUGACGUAUAAUUUAAUCCAGACAAAAUUCAGUAUUCUUGUACUGAAAUCAAGUUCAUGGGAAACGUUAUAUCGGAGGGAAAAAUAAAGCCGCAGGUUAAAUACAGGGAUGCAAUUCUCAAAAUAAGGAAGCCUCAGAAUAAAUCAGAUGUUUUGAGAUUUUUCGGCCUUCUGAAGUAUAGCCAGAUACAUUCCGAAUCUCUCAAGGCAAUCGGCUAAUUUGCGAAACUUGACAAAAAACGAUACGGAUUUCAAUUGGACUGCAGAACAUGAAAAAGAAUUUAAUAACCUAUUAGCCAUUGUAACGGAAGAGCCAGUUUUGGCUAUAUAUGAUCCGAAACUCCCAGUGAUUGUACAAACAGAUGCAUCCAAAGACGGACUGGGCUGUGUAAUAGUGCAAAAUGGACACCCUGUGGAGUUCGCUUCACGAACUCUCAGUGGCAGUGAGCAAAAAUGGUGCCAGCUGGAAAAAGAACUAUUAGCAGUUGUGUUUGCAUGCCAGCGGUUUCAUUUCUUUUUAUAUGGGCGCGAAUUCACUGUUGAGAGUGACCAUAAACCAUUAGAGACAUUGGUUAAGAAGGAUAUUGACGAUGUUACCAUGCGACUUCAACGAAUGUUUAUGUUCUUAUUGAAAUAUGCAAAAAUGACUAUUGCUUCUAAUCCAGGUAAAGAAAUGCUUGUGGCAGAUUGCUUAUCUCGUGCUCAAUUGCCAGACAUAUCUGAGAUUGAAGGGUUAUCAGGGGUUAUUCACUCGGUUAUAAAGUCAGUUUGUGUAACCAAGGAUAAUUAUGAUCUUUAUGAAAAGGGAUUAGAGGAAGAUGAAAAAUAUUAACGUAUCUGCUCAUUUGUGGCUAACGGCCAGGAUACCAUCAUCUUGAUGACCUGGGCAAGCAGUUUCACGCUAUCAAAUCUGAAUUACAGUUUGAAAGUGGGUUAUUGUUUUGGAAUCACAGGGUUGUCAUACCCUGCAAAAUGCAACACAAAGUUUCCCAAUGGUUGCAUGAACCUCAUCUAGGCAUAGAGAAAACACUCUCACGUGCAAGAAUGCUUUAUUAUUGGCCUGGUAUGAACAAACAAAUAAAAGAACUUAUAGAAUCGUGCAGUGUUUGUGAACAAUUCAGGAGAAAUAAUCAAAAGGAACCGUCAUAUAAUCAAAGUAUUAACAUCAAUAUUUGAUAAAAUCGGAUACCCAACUAUCAUUAAAAGUGAUAAUAGUCCCUUUGGCUCAGCAGAGUUCAGAGAUUUUUCAAGCAACAGUAAUGUUCAAUUAAAAUUUUCAAGCCCCAGGUAUCCACAAAGUAAUGGCCUAGCAGAAAAAGGUGUGGCGAUUGCGAAAAACAUAUUAAAAAGAUGUUAUGAAGCUAAGGAUGUAGAGAAUUUUCAAUAUCGAAUACUUGAAUAUAAUACAACUCCAAUAGCCAGCAUGAAACUAACACCAACAGAACUAUUUUUUGGCAGACUACUCAAGACCAAACUCCCAGUAUCGGAUUCGUUGUUGAUUAGGAAUAACUUAAAGGAGACAGACAUUCAAGACAAAUUAAAAAAGAAAAACAAAAAUACUAUUAUGACCGCAGUGCAAAAUCACUAGCUUUAUUAAAUAUUGACGAUGUGGUUAUUUUUAAGAAAAAUGGUAAUGAAUGGCAUUAUGGAAAAAUUGUGGGAGUUGUAAAUGACCGUUCAUAUAUUAUUAAGGAUACAUUUAACAGCCAUUAUAGACGCAAUCAGCGUUUUAUUGCUAAGACCACUCAUAAGGACUUAAACACAAAUGAAAUAAGUUUUGAAAAUAAUAUCAAGUCAAAUAACACUGGAAACGAUAAUAAUAAUCAGAGUUGGCCUGAAAUACAAAUCGUUGAACCUAAGGACAACAUAUCUAAUAGGGACAACAAUAGUACAAUAAAAGAAAAAUAUAUAAUUGUAGACAGUCCAGACUCAAGUGAAUCAGAGGAUAAAUUUGUAACAGCAUCUGGUUCGGAGGCAAACGACGAAGAACCUAUAAGUCCUUGCUACCGAACCAGAAGUGGCAGAUCUGUACGACCACCUGAGCGGUAUAGAGACAUAGAGUGGUCUUAAGUUAGUUAAGUUAAUUUAAUUAAUUAAAAAAAAAGAAAAGAAAAAAAAGAGAAAAGCAUGUAAUAAGUGUUGAACAUUAAGUGCCAAAUGUUAAACAACACUGGUUAGGCGAAGUUCAAGAAGAACCUAGUUCGUUCCUCAGUUGAUCGUCAACACCCAAAUAAACCAGACGCACAACAACUAAGCUUAUAAUUAAUAAACUUGUAAAUUAUAAA